AACGAACGCUGGCGGCAUGCCUAACACAUGCAAGUCGAACGAGGCCUUCGGGUCUAGUGGCGCACGGGUGCGUCACGCGUGGGAACCUGCCCUUAGGUUCGGCAUAACUCCCCGAAAGGGGUGCUAAUACCGGAUAAUGUCUUCGGACCAAAGAUUUAUCGCCAUUGGAUGGGCCCGCGUUGGAUUAGCUAGUUGGUAGGGUAAAAGCCUACCAAGGCGACGAUCCAUAGCUGGUCUGAGAGGAUGAUCAGCCACACUGGGACUGAGACACGGCCCAGACUCCUACGGGAGGCAGGAGUGGGGAAUAUUGGACAAUGGGCGAAAGGCUGAUCCAGCAAUGCCGCGUGAGUGAUGAAGGCCUUAGGGUUGUAAAGCGCUUUUACCCGGGAUGAUAAUGACAGUACCGGGAGAAUAAGCCCCGGCUAACUCCGUG
rnacentral:rRNA from 1 species